AGAGUUUGAUCAUGGCUCAGAUUGAACGCUGGCGGCAGGCCUAACACAUGCAAGUCGAACGCUAACAGAAAGCAGCUUGCUGCUUUGCUGACGAGUGGCGGACGGGUGAGUAAUGUCUGGGAAACUGCCUGAUGGAGGGGGAUAACUACUGGAAACGGUAGCUAAUACCGCAUAACGUCGCAAGACCAAAGAGGGGGACCUUCGGGCCUCUUGCCAUCGGAUGUGCCCAGAUGGGAUUAGCUAGUAGGUGGGGUAAAGGCUCACCUAGGCGACGAUCCCUAGCUGGUCUGAGAGGAUGACCAGCCACACUGGAACUGAGACACGGUCCAGACUCCUACGGGAGGCAGCAGUGGGGAAUAUUGCACAAUGGGCGCAAGCCUGAUGCAGCCAUGCCGCGUGUAUGAAGAAGGCCUUCGGGUUGUAAAGUACUUUCAGCGGGGAGGAAGGGAGUAAAGUUAAUACCUUUGCUCAUUGACGUUACCCGCAGAAGAAGCACCGGCUAACUCCGUGCCAGCAGCCGCGGUAAUACGGAGGGUGCAAGCGUUAAUCGGAAUUACUGGGCGUAAAGCGCACGCAGGCGGUUUGUUAAGUCAGAUGUGAAAUCCCCGGGCUCAACCUGGGAACUGCAUCUGAUGCUGGCAAGCUUGAGUCUCGUAGAGGGGGGUAGAAUUCCAGGUGUAGCGGUGAAAUGCGUAGAGAUCUGGAGGAAUACCGGUGGCGAAGGCGGCCCCCUGGACGAAGACUGACGCUCAUGUGCGAAAGCGUGGGAGCAAACAGGAUUAGAUUACCUGGUAGUCCAC
rnacentral:rRNA from 1 species